AACGAACGCUAGCGGCAUGCCUAACACAUGCAAGUCGAACGAGACCUUCGGGUCUAGUGGCGCACGGGUGCGUAACGCGUGGGAACCUGCCCUUAGGUUCGGAAUAACUCCCCGAAAGGGGUGCUAAUACCGGAUAAUGUCUUCGGACCAAAGAUUUAUCGCCUUUGGAUGGGCCCGCGUUGAAUUAGCUAGUUGGUAGGGUAAAAGCCUACCAAGGCGACGAUCCAUAGCUGGUCUGAGAGGAUGAUCAGCCACACUGGGACUGAGACACGGCCCAGACUCCUACGGGAGGCAGCAGUGGGGAAUAUUGGACAAUGGGCGAAAGCCUGAUCCAGCAAUGCCGCGUGAGUGAUGAAGGCCUUAGGGUUGUAAAGCUCUUUUACCCGGGAUGAUAAUGACAGUACCGGGAGAAUAAGCUCCGGCUAACUCCGUG
rnacentral:rRNA from 1 species